UACGUAGGGGGCUAGCGUUGUCCGGAAUCAUUGGGCGUAAAGAGCGUGUAGGCGGCUCGGUAAGUCCGCUCUGAAAGCCCGGGGCUCAACCCCGGGAGGCGGGCGGAUACUGUCGAGCUAGAGUCCGGAAGAGGCGAGUGGAAUUCCUGGUGUAGCGGUGAAAUGCGCAGAUAUCAGGAGGAACACCGGUGGCGAAGGCGGGUCUCUGGGCAGUAACUGACGCUGAGGAGCGAAAGCGUGGGUAGCGAACAGG
rnacentral:rRNA from 1 species